AAAAAUAGUGGCUAUGACUGUUAAGUGAGAAAGGUCAACAAAGUCCAGUUCCCACAUUCUCUUCUCUUGGUGGUAAGCAAGUGGGAGUGGGUGGCCGUCCCUCCAAUCUUGUCCUAUACUGUUUAUCUACACACAGUAUCCUAUACUCUGAUGUAUGUAUUGGGUUUGUAAAUACCUAGCUAGCAUGCUUUCUUUUGAACGGAUAUGUACGUUUUUUUUCCUUGUUUUAAUUGAAGUAUAUAUCCUUUGAUCAGUCUUCAUGGAGCAACUUUACAUCCCUUAAACGCAGAAAACUGAAAAUUGUGCGUUUAUUUGCUGUUUCUGUCUUCCAGGCUUAUUUGGAUUUUGAAGAACAAGGAUAGGCAGGAGAAUGCUCCAAUGGUGCUGUCUCCCCCAGAACAAGGAGGUGUCUAAAUACAAGGAAAAUAACAUCCAAGAAGUGACAUGGGCUUUGUCGAACUAGCAAUGUCAAGAAACCUUGAACCACAUAGGUAGAUGGGUGGCAAGUAUGUUCAUGUAAUGAAAUACGAUGGUACAGG
rnacentral:lncRNA from 1 species